ACACGGAAGAAGCGUUGCAAGCAGUGCAGGUUUACCAACGGCUUGGGGCAGCGAUAUACUAAACAAAUUUAAUAUUAAAAGCAACUGUGUGACGAUUCCUCCAAGCAAGAAAUUGGAAUUGAAUGUCUCAAGUCUCGUUGCGGUUGCUGAAGGGAUUGGAUAUAGGGACCUGGACUCCAACAUGAAGAAGCUAGGGAGAAUUCAUCCAAACAGAUAGUCUACCGUUUAUUCUAAAACCAACUUUGAAGAAUUUUUACACCCUGGUAACAGAGAGACCACUGGACAGAGAGACCAGCGCCGAGUACAACAUCACCAUCACCGUCACUGAUUUGGGGACACCCAGGCUGAAAACCCAGCAGAGCAUAACCGUGCAGGUCUCCGACGUCAAUGACAAUGCCCCCGCCUUCACCCAAACGUCCUACACCCUGUUCGUCCGCGAGAACAACAGCCCCGCCCUGCACAUCGGCAGUGUCAGGGCCACAGACAGAGAUUCCGGCACCAACGCCCAGGUCACCUACUCGCUGCUGCCGCCCCAGGACCCGAACCUGCCCCUCGCCUCCCUAGUCUCCAUCAACGCAGACAACGGCCACCUGUUCGCCCUCAGGUCGCUGGACUACGAGGCCCUGCAGGCGUUCGAGUUCCGCGUGGGCGCCUCAGACCGCGGUUCCCCGGCGCUGAGCAGCGAGGCGCUGGUGCGCGUGCUGGUGCUGGACGCCAACGACAACUCGCCCUUCGUGCUGUACCCGCUGCAGAACGGCUCCGCGCCCUGCACCGAGCUGGUGCCCCGGGCGGCCGAGCCGGGCUACCUGGUGACCAAGGUGGUGGCGGUGGACGGCGACUCGGGCCAGAACGCCUGGCUGUCGUACCAGCUGCUCAAGACCACGGAGCCCGGGCUGUUCAGUGUGUGGGCGCACAAUGGCGAGGUGCGCACCGCCAGGCUGCUGAGCGAGCGCGAUGCGGCCAAGCACAGGCUGGUGGUGCUGGUCAAGGACAAUGGCGAGCCUCCGCGCUCGGCCACCGCCAUGCUGCACGUGCUCCUGGUGGAUGGCUUCUCCCAGCCCUACCUGCCUCUCCCGGAGGCGGCCCCAGCCCAGGCCCAGGCCGACUCGCUCACCGUCUACCUGGUGGUGGCGUUGGCCUCGGUGUCGUCACUCUUCCUCUUUUCGGUGCUCCUGUUCGUGGCGGUGCGGUUGUGCAGGAGGAGCA
rnacentral:sRNA from 1 species